rnacentral:rRNA from 1 species
AUACGAAGGGUGCAAGCGUUAAUCGGAAUUACUGGGCGUAAAGCGCGCGUAGGUGGUUUUGUAAGUUGGAGGUGAAAGCCCCGGGCUCAACCUGGGAAUUGCCUCCAAAACUGCAUGACUAGAGUACGGUAGAGGGUAGUGGAAUUUCCUGUGUAGCGGUGAAAUGCGGAGAUAUAGGAAGGAACACCAGUGGUGAAGGCGACUACCUGGAAUGAUACUGACACUGAGGUGGAAAAGCGUGGGGAGCAAAAAGGAUUAGAUACCCUGGUAGUCCACGCCGUAAACGAUGUCAACUAGCCGUUGGGAUCCUUGAGAUCUUAGUGGCGCAGCUAACGCAUUAAGUUGACCGCCUGGGGAGUACGGCCGCAAGGUUAAAACUCAAAUGAAUUGGCGGGG